rnacentral:rRNA from 1 species
UAGGGAAUCUUCGGCAAUGGACGAAAGUCUGACCGAGCAACGCCGCGUGAGUGAAGAAGGUUUUCGGAUCGUAAAACUCUGUUGUUAGAGAAGAACAAGGACGUUAGUAACUGAACGUCCCCUGACGGUAUCUAACCAGAAAGCCACGGCUAACUACGUGCCAGCAGCCGCGGUAAUACGUUGGUGGCAAGCGUUGUCCGGAUUUAUUGGGCGUAAAUCGAGCGCAGGCGGUUUCUUAAGUCUGAUGUGAAAGCCCCCGGCUCAACCGGGGAGGGUCAUUGGAAACUGGGAGACUUGAGUGCAGAAGAGGAGACAGGAAUUCCAUGUGUAGCGGUGAAAUGCGUAGAUAUAUGGAGGAACACCAGUGGCGAAGGCGGCUCUCUGGUCUGUAACUAACGCUGAGGCUCGAAAGCGUGGGGAGCAAACAGG